rnacentral:tRNA from 1 species
GCCCCGAUAGCUCAGUGGUAGAGCAUUCCAUGGUAAGGAAGGGGUCGACAGUUCAAUCCUGUCUCGGGGCUCGA